rnacentral:rRNA from 1 species
UACGGGGGGAGCAAGCGUUGUUCGGAUUUACUGGGCGUAAAGGGCGCGUAGGCGGCGCGACAAGUCACUUGUGAAAUCUCCGGGCUUAACCCGGAGCGGCCAAGUGAUACUGUAGUGCUAGAGUGCGGAAGGGGCUACUGGAAUUCUCGGUGUAGCGGUGAAAUGCGUAGAUAUCGAGAGGAACACCUGCGGCGAAGGCGGGUAGCUGGGCCGACACUGACGCUGAGGCGCGAAAGCCAGGGGAGCGAACAGG